rnacentral:rRNA from 1 species
UGGCGGACGGGUGAGUAACGCGUGGGUAACCUGCCUCAUACAGGGGGAUAACAGUUAGAAAUGACUGCUAAUACCGCAUAAGACCACAGCACCGCAUGGUGCGGGGGUAAAAACUCCGGUGGUAUGAGAUGGACCCGCGUCUGAUUAGCUAGUUGGUAAGGUAACGGCUUACCAAGGCGACGAUCAGUAGCCGACCUGAGAGGGUGACCGGCCACAUUGGGACUGAGACACGGCCCAA